AUGCCGCUUUUGGUGUUGCAAAAGUAUCCUGUAAAGGCCGCUGAAUCCUCCCCUGAAUCGACCUAUGAAGACCGGGAUUUGACCAGCUUAACGACUCAUCUCAGCUUCGAGCAUCCCCUGAUAACUUCUAACUCUUCGAGGUUCAUCGCCUGUAGAAAACCCUGUAAUUAAGGAUGAGAAGUAUAGCAUGAAGUAGAAAUGCAAAUGCGUCUCUGACAGUGGGAUCGAGCUCAGUAGAUCACAUCGGUGGAUCAGUCUUGUCGCUGGUUCAGCUCCUUUCUUGUGCCCGGCACAGAGUAAGUACUGCAAAGAAACGAGACAUCUUUUCACAGACAAAAACAUCUGUUAAGCGCUUACUAUGUUACUGUUCACCGGUGCACACCUUGCAAAGGCUUUCCACCACAGCCUAGUGGAUAGAGCACAGCCCCGGGAGCCAGAAGGACCUGGGUUCCAAUCCCGGCUCCGCCACUUGUCUGCUGUGUGACCUAGGACAAGCCACUUCACUUCUCUGCGCCUCAGUUCCCUCAUCUGUAAAAUGGGGAUUAAGACCGUGAGCACCACGUGGGACCGGGACCGUGUUCAACCUGAUCAGCUUGUAUCUACCCCAGUGCUUAGAAGAGUGCUUGACACACGGUAAGUGCUUAACAAAUACCAUCAGUUCUAUUUCUUAGUCACCUUUCCCUCCAAAUUCAAGACCUCUGCCUCACAUCUGUUCCGACUCUUGUAUGUGAGAGCCUGCAGCGGGGCCUAAUUUCCCCCCAGGCAAAGCUUCAAGCAAAGUCACCCAAAUCUGCAAACACUGCCUUUCCCUCAAACAACACUGCUUAGAGAGCGUUGGCUCCAGGUCUGAAUGGGUCGGUUUAUUCCUACAGGGCUGACGUGUGAAAUUAGAGCAUUGAACAUUUAGAUCCAGUCCCAUUUUCUUU
rnacentral:lncRNA from 1 species